CUUGCAAGUCGAGCGGAGAGGCCCUUCGGGGUACUCGAGCGGCGAACGGGUGAGUAACACGUGAGUAAUCUGCCCCAGGCUCUGGGAUAGCCACCGGAAACGGUGAUUAAUACCGGAUACGACAACCGAUUGCAUGAUCUGGUUGUGGAAAGUUUUUCGGCCUGGGAUGUGCUCGCGGCCUAUCAGCUUGUUGGUGAGGUAAUGGCUCACCAAGGCUUCGACGGGUAGCCGGCCUGAGAGGGUGACCGGCCACACUGGGACUGAGACACGGCCCAAACUCCUACGGGAGGCAGCAGUGGGGAAUAUUGGACAAUGGGCGGAAGCCUGAUCCAGCAACGCCGCGUGAGGGAUGACGGCCUUCGGGUUGUAAACCUCUUUCAGCACAGACGAAGCGCAAGUGACGGUAUGUGCAGAAGAAGGACCGGCCAACUACGUGCCAGCAGCCGCGGUAAUUA
rnacentral:rRNA from 1 species